rnacentral:rRNA from 1 species
GAUGAACGCUAGCUACAGGCUUAACACAUGCAAGUCGAGGGGCAGCAUGAACAUAGCUUGCUAUGUUUGAUGGCGACCGGCGCACGGGUGCGUAACACGUAUCCAAUCUGCCCGUUACUCGGGGAUAGCCUUCUGAAAGGAAGAUUAAUACCCGAUGGCAUUCAUUGGCGGCAUCGCUUUUGAAUUAAAGAUUUAUCGGUAACGGAUGAGGAUGCGUACGAUUAGCUGGUUGGCGGGGUAACGGCCCACCAAGGCAACGAUCGGUAGGGGUUCUGAGAGGAAGGUCCCCCACACUGGAACAGCGGCACGGUCCAGACUCCUACGGGAGGCAGCAGUGAGGAAUACUGGUCAAUGGGCGAGAGCCUGAACCAGCCAAGUAGCGUGAAGGAUGACUGCCCUACGGGUUGUAAACUUCUUUUGUGUGGGAAUAAAAGACGCUACGGGUAGCGUUCUGCAUGUACCUUACGAAUAAGCAUCGGCUAAUUCCGUGCCAGCCGCCGCCGUAACAC